rnacentral:rRNA from 1 species
AUUGAACGCUGGCGGCAGGCCUAACACAUGCAAGUCGAGCGAGCGGCGGACGGGUGAGUACUGUCUGGGAAACUGCCUGAUGGAGGGGGAUAACUACUGGACACGGUAGCUAAUACCGCAUACCAUCAGAUGUGCCCAGAUGGGAUUAGCUAGUAGGUGGGGUAAUGGCUCACCUAGGCGACGCUCCCUAGCUGGUCUGAGAGGAUGACCAGCCCCCCGGGAACUGAGACACGUGCCAGACUCCUGCGGAAGGCAGCAGUGGGGAAUAUUGCACAAUGGGCGGAAGCCUGAUGCAGCCAUGCCGCGUGUGUGAAGAAGGCCUUCGGGUUGUAAAGCACUUUCAGCGGGGAGGCGUUACCCGCAGAAGAAGCACCGGCUAACUCCGGGCCAGCAGCCGCGGUAAUAC